rnacentral:rRNA from 1 species
UACGUAGGGACCAAGCGUUGUUCGGAUUUACUGGGCGUAAAGGGCGCGUAGGCGGCUUAACAAGUCACUUGUGAAAUCUCCGGGCUUAACUCGGAACGGCCAAGUGAAACUGUCAAGCUAGAGUGCAGAAGGGGCAAUCGGAAUUCUUGGUGUAGCGGUGAAAUGCGUAGAUAUCUGGAGGAACACCGGUGGCGAAGGUGGCAUCCUGGACCGGCAUUGACGCUGAGGCGCGAAAGCCAGGGGAGCAAACGGG